rnacentral:rRNA from 1 species
UACGUAGGGGGCGAGCGUUGUCCGGAUUUAUUGGGCGUAAAGAGCUCGUAGGCGGUUUGGCAAGUCGGGUGUGAAAACUCCGGGCUCAACUCGGAGACGCCACUCGAUACUGCCAUGACUUGAGUCCGGUAGGGGAGUGCGGAAUUCCUGGUGUAGCGGUGAAAUGCGCAGAUAUACGGAGGAACACCAGCGGCGAAGGCGGGUUGCUGGGCUGACACUGACGCUGAUGCGCGAAAGCUAGGGGAGCGAACGGG